rnacentral:rRNA from 1 species
GACGUAGGGCGCGAGCGUUGUCCGGAUUUAUUGGGCGUAAAGAGCUCGUAGGCGGCUUGUCGCGUCGAAUGUGAAAACUCGGGGCUCAACUCCGAGCUUGCAUUCGAUACGGGCAGGCUAGAGUUCGGUAGGGGAGACUGGAAUUCCUGGUGUAGCGGUGAAAUGCGCAGAUAUCAGGAAGAACACCUAUGGCGAAGGCAGCUCUCUGGGACGGUACUGACGCUGAGACGCGAAAGCGUGGGGAGCGAACAGG